UCUGACCCGGUGGAUCAAAGCUCAAUAACCCAACUAAGUGUCCCAACUGGCUGGGUCAAAUAUAACUCAACGUUUGUUCUGUCCAUUAUUUACCCAGGGCUGGGUUGUUAUUUUUUAUAUCCAGGGCUGGGUUGUUGUUUUUAUACCCAGGGCUGGGUUGUUGUUUUUUUACCCAGGGCUGGGUUGUUGUUUUGUUUUUUUUACCCAGGGCUGGGUUGUUGUUGUUUUUUUACCCAGGGCUGGGUUGUUGUUUUCUAUCCAUGGCUGGGUUGUUGUUUUUUAUACACAGGGCUGUUUAAAAAAAAAAAUUUACACAGGGCUGGGUUGUUUUUUAUUUUUUACACAGGGCUGGGUUGUUUUUUAUUUUUUACACAGGGCUGGGUUGGUUUAGUUUUUUACACAGGGCUGGGUUGGUUUUGUUUUUUAUCCAGGGCUGGGUUGUUUUUUAUAUCCAGGACUGGGUUGUUUUUUUACCCAACAUUUUUUUUGUGCCGACUGAAUUUCUAAGGCACACAUUUUGGACUUUCUAAUUGUUUCUAACUCUUUCUCAUUGCGCCUAUUAAAUCUAUAUUGUUUUAAAAAACACUAAAACUCACUAGUUGCUGAAUGUUAAUUGAAGUCAAGCAAAAGAAAAUAACAAAUAAACAAAUCAAUUCUAAAAGCUUUAACAAGAGCAAGGUAUUGUGUUUCGUUUGAAAACAGCAUCCCAUCACACUUACCGAACAGAAUGAAGUAAAUGGUCAUAGUGUUUGUUGGUCACACAUUUUUUCAUUGUUGUUUUACAAUACAAGAUGAGCUCAUUGUAACAACAAAAGCAGAUAUUACAUGACAAUUAUUUAAAGUGACAUCAUACAUGGAUGGUUAUGUAACAGAGUAACCUCACAAGAUACGCAUGUACACUAAAUGUAUUAAGUUGCGUAACUUGAGUUAUCGCUAAAUUCAAAUUGUUCAUAAUCACAGGCUAAUGUAUCAACUCUUCUCUGACCGAUUGUAAGGCCAAUGUGCCAGACAUGUGACUUGUACAGACACCAAUGUUCCUUGAGACCAACGUUUGAGUAUUGU
rnacentral:lncRNA from 13 species